rnacentral:rRNA from 1 species
GACGAACGCUGGCGGCGUGCUUAACACAUGCAAGUCGAACGAAGUGGCGAACGGGUGAAUAACGCGUAAUCAACCUGCCCUUCGGGGGGGACCACCAGUUGGAAACGACUGCUAAUACCGCAUCCGGAAGGAGGGGAUUGCGUCUGAUUGGCUAGUGGGAGGGGUAACGGCCCACCAAGGCGAUGAUCAGUGGCCGGUCUGAGAGGAUGAACGGCCACAUUUGGACUGAGACACGGCCCAGACUCCUACGGGAGGCAGCAGUGGGGAAUCUUCCGCAAUGGACGAAAGUCUGACGGAGCAACGCCGCGUGAGUGAUGACGGCCUUCGGGUUGUAAAGCUCUGUUAAUCGGGACGCGGUACCGGAAUAGAAAGCCACGGCUAACUACGUGCCAGCCGCCGCGGUAAUAC